AGCGAACGCUGGCGGCAGGCUUAACACAUGCAAGUCGAGCGGGCGUAGCAAUACGUCAGCGGCAGACGGGUGAGUAACGCGUGGGAACGUACCUUUUGGUUCGGAACAACACAGGGAAACUUGUGCUAAUACCGGAUAAGCCCUUACGGGGAAAGAUUUAUCGCCGAAAGAUCGGCCCGCGUCUGAUUAGCUAGUUGGUGAGGUAACGGCUCACCAAGGCGACGAUCAGUAGCUGGCUGAGAGGAUGAUCAGCCACAUUGGGACUGAGACACGGCCCAAACUCCUACGGGAGGCAGCAGUGGGGAAUAUUGGACAAUGGGCGCAAGCCUGAUCCAGCCAUGCCGCGUGAGUGAUGAAGGCCCUAGGGUUGUAAAGCUC
rnacentral:rRNA from 1 species